GCUGCUCGUAAUAAUCACACACCUCUUCGUGGUGAGCAGCAGGCAACGAUCUUAUGGUCGGCGAAGAUGUGAAG
rnacentral:ribozyme from 2 species